GUUCUCUUUUUUCUUCUUCCGUUAGCAAACUGGAGUAAAAAGCAAGUAUUUUUUGCUUCUGUUUGCUCCGGAGCAACUUCUGUGUACUAGAACAAACCUAUUAUACAAAACCAUCUGACAACGCUGCUCUAAAGUGAAAAGUGCUCUUCAAACAUCGAUGACAUCUUUUUUGUUUUUUCCUGUUUUCUCUAUAUAGGUAUACCUAUCUGAUAUGUAUUUCAUCCUGCCAAGGAAUCCAAAAACAUCAGCUGUCUCCCGUUUUCCGAAAGUUCGCCGACCAGUUUUGCUUCCAAACUGAAGAAAAAAUUACAGUUUAACUUCACCAGGCACAUCAUCAGAAUGAGAUGCAGGAAAAUAUUAACCCAGAAUGGUUUCAUUUUACCGUCCAGUAUGAGAAACAUUUUACAAAUGAUAAUCGUGUAUGCCCAAAAGGUAUUUUGUGCGGAUCUGCGAAUUCGGUUUUUGUGGAAUAAUUCGACCAAGGGCUAUGAUGUAGCAGCGGUGGAGAGUAAGUCCAAUCUUACGGCUCCAUCCCACCCCGGCAGCAGAUGAGCGCUGGCGAAUGUUCUCAGCCACCUGGAGGAGGAGGUUCAGCGCGGAAGAAAUGUUACCAGAUUUUGCCGAUCUGGUGCCUGGACUUUUUUGGUAAUCUCAGAGAUUGGGUGUGCAGAUGGGCGGUUGGAGUUCUGGGAGGGAACGACUGAUAACUUUAAGGGUAUAUAUGACAAAAACACCCACAACAAUGGGGUAACGAACAUAAAGCUCGCCGGUGACAAAGUGAUAGUCGCACGGUUGAGUGGACGAAUCGAUUCUCUGAGACUGGAAACGUACACGCAAGGUUGUCAGAUCGAUUGGGGAUUUACGUCUGCAUAUGGGCGAACUCACGUACGCACCGGUUCGGCAG